rnacentral:lncRNA from 1 species
CGUUUUAUUUCUACUCUUUGAUGCAGGUACUGAACCUUGUUAGCCUUUGGGGGUCUUUUAAGGAGCAAGUGUGCUACGACUAUGAUUAAAUGAUGCACAUCUUCCAUGUUCAAGGAUUUCCUUUGUAAUAAUGCUUAACAGACCUUUGUAUUAUAGGCUAGAGUUUGUAUAGGAUUUCAAUUAAUAAGGUUUGUAUGUUUUGUAGUCUUGAAAAUGAACAAAUAUCCAGGCCCUGUGGUUCUUUGACAAAAAGAAUUGGUGACUUAAUCCUUGUAUUCCAAAUGGUUUCAAAAUGCAUCAUAAUGCUACUCGCACGUCCAGUGACAUCUUCUAUGU